rnacentral:lncRNA from 1 species
GAUUUCACUGCAGGUACUAUAUUUCUCUGUAGGCUACGUUUGGUUCAGGUAUAAGUAAGAACUGCUUAUUACAGGGAUAGGUACAAGUUCAGAUAUAAGCAGGAACUAGAUCAAUUUUGCGUUUGGAUGAAAAUUGAGUUAUUCCUAGGAAUGAGGUAAAUAGCGUUUGGAUGGUUAAAUUGGAACAAGAGGAAUAAAAGUUAUAAUUUGAAAUCAAAAUUAUAUUAUCUAAUUAAUUAACAUCAAAAUAUUACUUAAAAAUAAAUAAUAAAUAAAUUAUUAAUAAAUAAUUAUAAAUAAUAAUAAUUAUUAAUUAUUAAUUAUUAUUAUUAAUUAAUUAUUAUUAAUUAUUUAUAAUUAUUUACAAGUAAUAAAUUAAUUAAUUAUUAAUAAAUUAUUAAUAAUUAUUAAUUAAUUAAUUAAUUAUUAAUAAUUAUUAAUUAAUUAAUUAAUUAUUAAUAAUUAUUUAUAAGUAAUAAAUUAAUUAAUAAUAAUUAUCUAAUUAUUAAUAAUUAAUUAUAAAUAAUAAAUUAAUAAUUAUUACUAUCUAAUUAUAAAAAAUAAUUCUAAAUAAUAAAUUAUUAUUUAUUUUUAUUAUUUAAGCAAUAGAUAAUAAUUCAAAUAUAUUAAUUAGAUUAAUUAAUAAUUUACUAUUAUUAAAAUUUAAAUUUAGAUUUAAUUAACCUUGUUCUCAUUCGGGAACAAGCUUGUUCCAGAAAAAGAUGGAACAGCAGUUCCAGUCAGUUCCAGAAACCCGAGAACUACUGUUCUCGGAUACCAAACGCUACAUUUGGGAACAAAAGGAGGAACAAGGGCUUAUUCUCCCCUUUGUUUCCGAACCAAACACUACCUACGGGACUUGAACCCAC